GCAUAUAUACUUGCUUAAAUAAAUUAAACAAGAGGCCCAAGAAUAUAUUACCCGAUAUUUGGCUGAGUGAACCUGCCCCAGUAAAAUUGAAUUGGGCGUCAAGAAUAGGUCUAUUUCCUCCUGGUUUUGCCUGCAUUUGCCAUGCUUCAUUUCUGUGCAACCAAUCGGACUCAUUGUCAUCGCCCAGUUGAGAUGCAUAGUGCUGCACAUGUGGCGCCAUAUCUCUGGCAUGCUUCAUUUGUGUGCAACCAAGCGGACUCAUCGUCACCGCCCACCUGAGAUGCAUACUCGUGAACAUGUGUCGCCAUACCUCUACCUUGACUUUGCCCGUUGGUUAUAUCUUGGAAUGGAGCCCGUGAGGAAGAUGCCAUACCAAAUUUAGGUUACCCCUCGUUGGUGAGGAUUACACCUGUCAUAGAAUUCUGUUAGCUUUGUCUCCUUUUGUAUUAUUGUACAUUUAGAUCUGGCUAUAUCUAGAUUUUAUAUGAUCACCUAGCCUAAUAAAACUUCAGUUGGAUGCCUUUUUUAUCCUCAGCUUUGACAAGCAACUGUUGGGUAUUAUAUUUUGAUAGGAAUUAACAUGAAAGAAAGCUACGUGGCAUUUUGUAAAGGAUUCCAAUUGUUGCGACAUUAAGUUUUUAUUUAGAAUUUGUUAAGCAGAGGCAUAUAGAUUAAUAUUUGUUAAUGUGACCUGCAAUUCUAGAUUAUUGCAAAACCUAAAGUGCAUACAUACCUUCAUGGGGUAGAGUACCUUUUGUUUUACAUGAUAGUGAUCAUUUCUUCCAGGAAUAUAACCUAAACUGCACACACUCAUAUUUAGCAAUCCAGGAAUACACUCCUUUGUGGUACUUGCGCAAAGAGGUAGUUACAAAUGCAAAGGUCAAUGUAGUGUUGUCUGACAAGGCAGUACUGAAAGAUGUAGACAGAGAGCUUGCAAGAUUAGAAAAUGAACUGAAAGAGCCGGAGUCAGCCUCCUGCACAAGUCAUGUUGGUUUUGACUAAUUAAAAGGUGGUUUUGACUGUAAUUUGGGUGACUUUCCUGCAGAUGUUCUAUCAAAUUCUUGUAGAACCCAGCGUGAGUACAUGGGUGACAAUCAGGGCCGAUUUUGUGAAGAAACCUGAAGAAAGAUGUGGAGUUCGUUUGGCAUCCGUCUAGUGCAGCA